rnacentral:tRNA from 1 species
ACCCUCGUAGCUCAGCGGAAAGAGCGCCCGCCUCCGGAGCGGUAGGUCGCCGGUUCGAUUCCGGCCGAGGGUAC